CCUACGGGAGGCAGCAGUGAGGAAUAUUGGUCAAUGGGCGUAAGCCUGAACCAGCCAAGUCGCGUGAGGGAUGAAUGCCCUAUGGGUUGUAAACCUCUUUUAUCAAGGAAUAAAGUGCGGCACGUGUGCCUUUUCGUAUGUACCUUAUGAAUAAGGAUCGGCUAACUCCGUGCCAGCAGCCGCGGUAAUACGGAGGAUCCGAGCGUUAUCCGGAUUUAUUGGGUUUAAAGGGAGCGUAGGGUGCUUUUUAAGUCAGAUGUGAAAGUUUGUGGCUCAACCGUAAAAUUGCAGUUGAUACUGGCGGGCUGGAGUAUAUUUGAGGUAGGCGGAAUGCGUGGGGUAGCGGUGAAAUGCUUAGAUAUCACGAAGAAGCCCGAUUGCGAAGGCAGCUUACGAAGCUACGACUGACGCUGAUGCACGAAAGUGUGGGUAUCAAACAGGAUUAGAUACCCUAGUAGUC
rnacentral:rRNA from 1 species